AAGGAGCACGAGCCAACACGAUCGGUUCACAACGAACCGACGCAACGGCUGCUCGUUAGUCUGUGGAGCACUGACUAUUCAACAGUCCUCUGAUCGUUCUUCCGCAAGUACAAGCCGCAAGGCAGUGGAACGGGGUCGCAAGGAUCGAAGACUGUUGAGCACGCUGUUGGGUCCUGAGGAAACGGGAAACCGUUGACUCGGAUCGUGCGGGCCCAGGCCGAAGAGACUGAACUCUCUGAAAGCUUGGGUUGCCGUCUGUUUUUUGAGAACUGCACAGUGGACGCGAGCAUCUUAAGCAAUUUUAAGAAGCGAGCCUGGAUAUUCUGAUUCUGUCAGGGUUUUCUGGUUCAUCUUAGAUGUCUUAGUUGGGACCAUUUUUGU
rnacentral:misc_RNA from 1 species